ACAUUUUCCUGGCAGUAGAGACACCAUGAUGAAGAGGGUGGUUCACCAUUGGUGAGGCUUAGCCAUAGCACUUCAGGCUAGGUUGACCUAAUUGAAUUUUCCAAAUGAGGGAAUCUCAACUGCAUCAUUUCUGAUACUGGGGCACUGCGUCCGUGCUCUCUCCUG